rnacentral:snRNA from 1 species
UUCAUUCACAGCAGCAUCACAUAGAGUAAAAUUGGAACAAUGUAACAAAGACAAGCAUGGCCCUUGAUCAAGGAUGACACAUAAAUUCGUGACACAUCUUAUAUUUUU